CGUGUACAAUGGUGAAGUAAGUCGCUCUGGAUAAGAGCGUCUGCUAAAUGACUAAAA
rfam:Salmo salar isolate Sally breed double haploid chromosome ssa09, whole genome shotgun sequence.